UACGUAGGGUGCGAGCGUUGUCCGGAAUUAUUGGGCGUAAAGAGCUUGUAGGUGGCUCGUCGCGUCGGGAGUGAAAACCCGCGGCUUAACCGCGGGCCUGCUUUCGAUACGGGCGGGCUAGGGUUCGGCAGGGGAGACUGGAAUUCCUGGUGUAGCGGUGGAAUGCGCAGAUAUCAGGAGGAACACCGGUGGCGAAGGCGGGUCUCUGGGCCGAAACUGACGCUGAGGAGCGAAAGCGUGGGGAGCGAACAGG
rnacentral:rRNA from 1 species